rnacentral:rRNA from 1 species
UGGGGAAUAUUGCACAAUGGGCGCAAGCAUGAUGCAGCCAUGCCGCGUGUAUGAAGAAGGCCUUCGGGUUGUAAAGUACUUUCAGCGGGGAGGAAGGGAGUAAAGUUAAUACCUUUGCUCAUUGACGUUACCCGCAGAAGAAGCACCGGCUAACUCCGUGCCAGCAGCCGCGGUAAUACGGAGGGUGCAAGCGUUAAUCGGAAUUACUGGGCGUAAAGCGCACGCAGGCGGUUUGUUAAGUCAGAUGUGAAAUCCUCGGGCUCAACCUGGGAACUGCAUCUGAUACUGGCAAGCUUGAGUCUCGUAGAGGGGGGUAGAAUUCCAGGUGUAGCGGUGAAAUGCGUAGAGAUCUGGAGGAAUACCGGUGGCGAAGGCGGCCCCCUGGACAAAGACUGACGCUCAGGUGCGAAAGCGUGGGGAGCAAACAGG